rnacentral:rRNA from 1 species
GAAGUCUGAUGGAGCAACGCCGCGUGAGUGAUGAAGGUUUUCGGAUCGUAAAACUCUGUUGUAAGGGAAGAACCAGUACGUCAGGCAAUGGACGUACCUUGACGGUACUUAGGGAGGAAGCGCGGGUGAACUAGGUGCCAGCAGCCGCGGUAAUACGUAGGGGGCUAGCGUUAUCCGGAUUUACUGGGCGUAAAGGGUGCGUAGGUGGUUUCUUAAGUCAGGAAUGAAAGGCUACGGCUCAACCGUAGUAAGCUCUUGAAACUGGGAAACUUGAGUGCAGGAGAGGAAAGUGGAAUUCCUAGUGUAGCGGUGAAAUGCGUAGAUAUUAGGAGGAACACCAGUAGCGAAGGCGGCUUUCUGGACUGUAACUGACACUGAGGCACGAAAGCGUGGGGAGCAAACA